AUUGAACGCUGGCGGCAUGCUUUACACAUGCAAGUCGAACGGUAACAGGCCGCAAGGUGCUGACGAGUGGCGAACGGGUGAGUAAUGCAUCGGAACGUGCCCAGUCGUGGGGGAUAACUACUCGAAAGAGUAGCUAAUACCGCAUACGAUCGAUGGAUGAAAGCGGGGGACCGUAAGGCCUCGCGCGGGUGGAGCGGCCGAUGUCAGAGUAGGUAGUUGGUGGGGUAAAGGCUCACGAAGCCAACGAUCUGUAGCUGGUCUGAGAGGACGACCAUCCACACUGGGACUGAGACACGGCCAAGACUCCUACGGGAGGCAGCAGUGGGGAAUUUUGGACAACGGGCGCAAGCCUGAUCCAGCAAUGCCGCGUGCAGGAAGACGGCCUUCGGGUUGUAAACUGCUUUUGUACGGAACGAAACGGCUCUGGUUAAUACCCGGGGCUAAUGACGGUACCGUAAGAAUAAGCACCGGCUAACUACGUG
rnacentral:rRNA from 1 species